UCUCAGUUCGGAUUGUAGGCUGAAACUCGCCUACAUGAAGCGGGAGUUACUAGUAAUCGCAGAUCAGAAUGCUGCGGUGAAUGCGUUCCCGGGUCUUGUACACACCGCCCGUCACACCCCGGGAGUUGGGGGCGCCCGAAGCCGAUUAUCUAACCUUUUGGAAGAAGUCGUCGAAGGUGGAAUCAAUAACUGUGGUGAAGUCGUAACAAGGUAGCCGUAUCGGAAGGUGCGGCUGGAUCACCUCCU
rnacentral:rRNA from 1 species